GAUGAACGCUGGCGGCGUGCCUAAUACAUGCAAGUCGAGCGAACAGACGAGGAGCUUGCUCCUCUGACGUUAGCGGCGGACGGGUGAGUAACACGUGGAUAACCUACCUAUAAGACUGGGAUAACUUCGGGAAACCGGAGCUAAUACCGGAUAAUAUAUUGAACCGCAUGGUUCAAUAGUGAAAGACGGUUUUGCUGUCACUUAUAGAUGGAUCCGCGCCGCAUUAGCUAGUUGGUAAGGUAACGGCUUACCAAGGCGACGAUGCGUAGCCGACCUGAGAGGGUGAUCGGCCACACGGGAACUGAGACACGGUCCAGACUCCUACGGGAGGCAGCAGUAGGGAAUCUUCCGCAAUGGGCGAAAGCCUGACGGAGCAACGCCGCGUGAGUGAUGAAGGUCUUCGGAUCGUAAAGCUCUGUUAUUAGGGAAGAACAAAUGUGUAAGUAACUAUGCACGUCUUGACGGUACCUAAUCAGAAAGCCACGGCUAACUACGUG
rnacentral:rRNA from 1 species